AUGCGGCCGGCGAACCGCACGUUGCGGACUGGCGUACUGCACAACAUGUCAGGGGUAGAGCUCCACUAUAAAACGACGCACGCCGGUGACACUUCAGGACGUAGUCGGAGGAGACGCCCCCGAGCUCGGUGCACCUCGAUCCCAUGCGGGGCUGCUGCCCCAUGGCUCAAGAGCAUGGGGAAGGAUAGCUCGCUGGCAGACGCGUGUGGGAGUCCAGAUCGAGGGAAUGAAGUGCUCCGGGCAGGAGCGGGCGGGACCAGCCAUGGAUCGACGAGAUCCGUGCUGGGGAGGCUCGGGAGAGGCACCCCCGUCGGCCGGUGA
rnacentral:rRNA from 1 species